rnacentral:rRNA from 1 species
GACGAACGCUGGCGGCGUGCCUAAUACAUGCAAGUUGAGCGCUGAAGGUUGGUACUUGUACCAACUGGAUGAGCAGCGAACGGGUGAGUAACGCGUGGGGAAUCUGCCUUUGAGCGGGGGACAACAUUUGGAAACGAAUGCUAAUACCGCAUAAAAACUUUAAACACAAAUUUUAAGCUUGAAAGAUGCAAUUGCAUCACUCAGAGAUGAUCCCGGGUUGUAUUAGCUAGUUGGUGAGGUAAAGGCUCACCAAGGCGAUGAUACAUAGCCGACCUGAGAGGGGGAUCGGCCACAUUGGGACUGGGACACGGCACAAACUCCUACGGGAGGCAGCAGUAGGGAAUCUUCGGAAAUGGACGAAAGUCUGACCGAGCAACGCCGCGUGAGUGAAGAAGGUUUUCGGAUCGUAAAACUCUGUUGGUAGAGAAGAACGUUGGUGAGAGUGGAAAGCUCAUCAAGUGACGGUAACUACCCAGAAAGGGACGGCUAACUACGUGCCAGCCGCCGCCGUAACAC